rnacentral:rRNA from 1 species
CGCAGCGAAAUGCGAUAAGUAAUGUGAAUUGCAGAAUUCAGUGAAUCAUCGAAUCUUUGAACGCACCUUGCGCCCUUUGGCUAUUCUGAAGGGCAUGCCUGUUUGAGUAUCAUGAACACCUCAACUCUCAUGGUCUGCCAUGAUGAGCUUGGACUGUGGGGGUCUUGCCGGCCUAGUGUCGGCUCCUCUCAAAUGGAUCAGCUUCCCAGUGUUUGGUGGCGUCACAGGUGUGAUAACUAUCUACGCUUGUGGUUUCCUACCAUUAACCUUCAGCAAUGGAGGUUCGCUGGAGCUCACAGAUGUCUCUCCUUGGGGAGGACAGCUUCUUGACGUCUGAUCUCAAAUCAGGUAGGACUACCCGCUGAACUUAAGCAUAUCAAUAAGCGGAGGAAAAGAAACU